UGUACUGCGGUUGCAAAAACAACGGCUUAACCUCACCCAAGGUCCUUGAUGGCGCACCCUGACCAUAUAUGCCUUGAGGAGUGCAAGAACUUUAAUUUGUAAAAUGACCUCGCAUGUCUUUUAAAUACGGGGCCAUUUUCUACCCUUUGACUAUUGGGCUUUUUAUUUGCAUUAAAAAGAUUGCUGCAUAGGCAACUCCCCCCCAAUCUGAUGCCAAUCUCCUACAACUAAAAAGACUAAAAGAUGGAUAAACUUUUGGUGCGACAUUCUCCCCUCUGGCUUUCGUCCUGCCUCCUGCGACGGUCAUCCCGCCCGCUCUCUCUUCCGCCCAAAAAAAGGAAACAAAAUCGCUCCCUCCUCGCGCCCCGCUCCCCUUCGGCCCUUCCAUCCUCCGCGGCGCCCCCUUCCAUUCUCGCGCCCGCUCCCCUUCGGCCCUUCCAUCCUCCGCGGCGCCCCCUUCCAUCCUCGCGCCCGGCGCCCCGCUCCACUUUCGGCUCCUCGGCGCCCCGCUCAAAUCCUCGACGCAGAGCCCCCCUCAUCCUCCUCGUCGCCCCGCUCGCGUAUCCUCCGCAUCGCCCCCUCUCGGAUCCGCCUCCUAGGCGCAGAGGCCCCCCUCAUCCGCAGCGCCACCUACCGGAUCCGCCUCCUCGGCGCAGAGGCCCCACUCAUCCGCAGCGUCGCCCCGCUCCAAGAUCCUCCUCGUGGGCGGCUCACCAACCCAUGUUCGCCCGCACCCGCAUCCUGCUCGGCACCUGCGUCGAGCCGUCACGUCCCGCAUCCUCGACCGAGCCCUUCUACACCGCCACGAGGAGCAACAGAACCACGACGACCCUGCAGCGAGUAUCCUUGUCCUCGACAGCGAGAUCUUCGCCCUAACAUCGACCGAGACGUUCUCCACCGCCACGCUAAGCUACGAAGCCACGGCGACCCUGCGACUCUCUCCUGCCUGCAAGCCAACCGGUGAGCCACUACGGUAAAGCCCAUGGCCAAAUUCCAGACGCCUGCAAUAAUAGGUAGCAUCUCUAAUGUGUAGCUAGGUGAUCUACCUUUUCCAGAAUUGAGCAUUUUAACUCUGGUUAGCAUUACCAUCUAGAAAUAGAGAUAAUCAGUAUCAAAUUGUUUUUAGGAAAAAACAAGAAAUUAAUUGAUAGAAAAUAAGUUACUUUUGGAAAUUUUGAUAGAAAAAAGCUAACUCAAUUUAUGAUAUUAAUUCAUAUACCGGUUCAUCUUGACUGAUGGGGAAUGAGAUGAUAAAAGUUAAGUGCUAGGCAAUUAAGUUAAGUGCCAGGUCAUAAAGUAUGCAGAUCGUUUAUCUGGUAUGGUUUAUUGACAUGCAGAGGAGUAUAGAAUAUUCCAUGUAUGUUGUGGGCACAUUUUGCUUGUUGCUUCUGUGUCAUUGCCUAGCUAUGACUGCUCAGGCCAUAAAGUUGCAGAAUGUGUAUAUUUCAGCAGCAACCUUGCUUUCAUUCAUUUGUAAUAGAAAUAAUGGGACUAAAUAUAUUCUAAUGCUACCACCAUGUACUUUUUCCCUCUGUAUGGUUUAUCAAUUGUAAAACUAUAAGCUAAAAAAGAGAGGGACAGAUUGCCUUUGUUGCUCUGCAUGGGUUUCAGGAGAUCCUGAAUAUAUUUGAGCAUUCCCAUGGCCAAAGUCUUUGUACCAUCCGUUCAAUUAGUUGACAAUUGUAAUGUAACAGAAUUGCCCCUUUCAAAAUCAGGAUGAGUGCUUCUGUUGGCCGUAUAAAUUAUUACUGGUAAUUUAGAUGUUCCUGUUUCUAUGACAUGCAUAAAUGGUUCUUGUCGAUUCAGCAUAAAUGAAUUUCGCUGGUUUACAGUGUAUGUACGUUGUCACUGGUUUAUUGACAUGCAUAUAGGUGAGUAUAGGUCUUGUUCUAACUCAACCUACCCUGGUACUUGCUUCCCUGAUUGUGCAAAUCAGUAGAUGGUUUCUCAAAGAAUGAGAAGCUAUACUGUAGCUCAGUCUAAUGCAUUUAGAGGCUUGAUUCCUGAGAAUAUUGUGUAUGAUCUAAAUAAAUAUGGUUAUGGAUAUUUCACUUGCACAUUCUGGAUUGCUGCUGUGCAGAUAAACACAAUUCAUCAACUGUCUAUUUUGUGACUUGCGUUAUGUAUUGUUGUUUCUGCAAAUUAACACAGUUCAUCUCUAACAACUUGUGUAAGUUCAAUCCUUCCCCUACCCUUUGUUAUUCUUCUUCAUUUCUUUUAUUUUUUGAGAAUGAUGAUUUGCUGUUAACCAACUGUCAUUUGGAUUUGGGUUCUCAUAUUUUUUUUGGCAAUGCUAUGUUACUCAAGUUGCCUUGAUGUGGUCUGGAGCUAGGCAAAAAUCAGUCAUUUGCAUUGUUGGCACGGUCGAUUUAUCUUACUGACAAAAUUAAACUUCCUAGAAGAGAGGUCUAAAAGUUCAUAACAACUAGCCUGUAAUGAAAAUGGUGAUAUCUUCUUCUAUUCUAUCGAUGCUUGCAACCUUCCAGCAUACAGAAAUUUGGGUUCAAGGUUGCAGGGCUCAGUCACAUGAUAGGUUUUUGGACGUGGUUGAUCUAUGCAGCUUGGAUCUAUUACUGAUUCUUGCAGGACAAAACCUAAGGAUUCUAUAGUUGCUGAAAAAUCAAUGUUGCAUAGUUAAUUAUUUACGAAAAGAAUCAGCAUAGUAGGCACACCUACAUAAGCUGUUAGAUAGACGCCUUAUCUACAUCUACCCUGUUGCCAUCUCUACUAAUAUGCAGGGAUUAAUUAGUCAAGGAAUUGACCUUGCUUGUGUUGCUAAUGAAAUUUACCUAGCCGUGUGUUUAGUGAAUAAGUUAUCGCUUGACACCUCUACCAUUAUACAUUACUUAUUUUAUGUUGUAGCACGUAGAAAACCUGAUAUCUUUACUGUUGUUUUGCAAGACAUCUUAUAUGAAUUAUUUUCCUUCAACAAUGUGUUCUACUAUUUGUGGAGUUAGUAAAUUUACUAAUAUGUACAUGCUUUAUUUAUGCACUGCAGAUUAAAAGAGCUAGAAAACUACUAUUGGAGGACUCCAGUACUCAAUAAAACAAUAAAGAUCCUGCCCGCGAAAGCCACCGCUAUCUCCUCCUGAUCCGCAUCCCGCUCGGCGGCGGCGCCUGCGCCUGCAUCUUGCCGGUUGCCCAACUCGACGUCGCCACCGCCGAUCCCGGAAGCUGGUGAGGGUUGCCGGAAGCGCCUGCGUGUUGCCAGUUGCCGGACGCACCUAUCAACCGCUGGUGACGACGAAUCGGCACAGGAAGCUGGUGACGAGCUCGGCACAGGAACACGACGCUGAUACUAUUAGCUUGUUCAUCUAAGCAAAGAGAGAAAGCAAAGAGGAAACAGGAAGAGAUUGUUCAUAAUGGAAGCUAUACAAAAAAAUGAAGGUCGUACGCCAUUUGCAGACUUGACAAACUCCAUUAAUGGAGCUGUUCAUACAACAUAAAUUUCACAAGUGCAAGCUGAUGAACGUGUGCAACGUAAAAGGGAAAGAGAAAAGGCACGACAUGCAACAAUGACUCAAGAAGAAAGGGAUGAAAAAAAUAAAAAACGUAGAGAAAAAUAUCAUCAAAAAAAGGCAGAAACUUCGGUCCAGAGGUCCAUCGUAUUCUAAUUUCCCGUUUUUGAAUUUAGUAUUACCAUUUUUUUCGUUUAUGUGAGACAUGUAGUAUUGUAUAUCACCUACUUGUAUUAGUCAUUUGUUUGCUUAUUUAGAAUAUAAUUAUGUUGUACCAGAUGGAUUUAAAUCAACCACGGAAAACUACAAUGGCUAUGAAGAUAGUGACCGGUUACAUCGAGACAAUUCAUAUAAACCCAUGCCGAAUAAUUACUCCGAUAGAUGUGUAGAUCAAAGUGGCAUGCUUGACUUGACUGUUGCAUCACCUGAUCUAAACUCAGGUACAUUAUUUUUUUAUUAAUGUUUCUAUUUGAGAAGAAAAAAUAGAGUGGCCAACCCAAUUGUCAUUCAUCCCAAUGUA